GAUGAACGCUGGCGGCGUGCCUAACACAUGCAAGUCGAGCGAAGCGCCUUACUUGAUUUCUUCGGGAUGAAAGUAUUGUGACUGAGCGGCGGACGGGUGAGUAACGCGUGGAUAACCUGCCUCAUACAGGGGGAUAACAGUUAGAAAUGGCUGCUAAUACCGCAUAAGCGCACAGGACCGCAUGGUCUGGUGUGAAAAACUCCGGUGGUAUAAGAUGGACCCGCGUCUGAUUAGCUGGUUGGUGGGGUAACGGCCCACCAAGGCGACGAUCAGUAGCCGGCCUGAGAGGGUGAACGGCCACAUUGGGACUGAGACACGGCCCAG
rnacentral:rRNA from 1 species